UCCUACGGGAUGCAGCAGUGAGGAAUAUUGGUCAAUGGCCGGAAGGCUGAACCAGCCAAGCCGCGUGAGGGAGGAAGGCGCAGAGCGUCGCAGACCUCUUUUGCCGGGGGACAAAAGGCCGGACUCGUCCGGUCCUGAGGGUACCCGGAGAAAAAGCAUCGGCUAACUCCGUGCCAGCAGCCGCGGUAAUACGGAGGAUGCGAGCGUUAUCCGGAUUUAUUGGGUUUAAAGGGUGCGUAGGCGGGCUGUUAAGUCAGCGGUAAAAGCCCGGGGCUCAACCCCGGCGAGCCGUUGAAACUGGCUGU
rnacentral:rRNA from 1 species